UGGGGAAUCUUGGACAAUGGGGGCAACCCUGAUCCAGCCAUGCCGCGUGAGUGAUGAAGGCCUUAGGGUCGUAAAACUCUUUCGCCUGUGAAGAUAAUGACGGUAGCAGGUAAAGAAACCCCGGCUAACUCCGUGCCAGCAGCCGCGGUAAUACGGAGGGGGUUAGCGUUGUUCGGAAUUACUGGGCGUAAAGCGCACGUAGGCGGACCAGAAAGUUGGGGGUGAAAUCCCGGGGGCUCAACCCCGGAACUGCCUCCAAAACUAUUGGUCUAGAGUUCGAGAGAGGUGAGUGGAAUUCCAAGUGUAGAGGUGAAAUUCGUAGAUAUUUGGAGGAACACCAGUGGCGAAGGCGGCUCACUGGCUCGAUACUGACGCUGAGGUGCGAAAGUGUGGGGAGCAAACAGGAUUAGAUACCCUGGGUAGUCCACACCGUAAAACGAUGAAUGCCAGUCGUCGGGUAGCAUGCUAUUCGGUGACACACCUAACGGAUUAAGCAUU
rnacentral:rRNA from 1 species